UUCCUCCUGUUAUAAAGGGUUAAAUUUAUUAUUAGUGGAAUGGAAAUGGCUUGGAUGGAAGAGUAACAAGGCUGAAUUGUUAACAAGCGACAUGGGAUGACAAAAUGGCGCCGAAUUUGGACAAAGUUGUGGAUUUACCUUGUCGAUGGUUAAACAGGUAUGAUCUACUUGAAACCAAGUUGAAACUUGUUUAAAAUGUUCUUGAUACCAUUAUGUCUGAGAUGAUUUACAUUUUUUGCAGGAUGUCGACGAGAUCGCCGAUAAACAGCGGAGUAAAGUGGAGAACUUGGCCAAAUACGUCCAUUUGCAGGAGGUAGGCACAUUUCAAAUUAUUAUUUCGGUCAGAAAAUAU